rnacentral:rRNA from 1 species
AGCGAACGCUGGCGGCAGGCCUAACACAUGCAAGUCGAACGAACUCUUCGGAGUUAGUGGCGGACGGGUGAGUAACACGUGGGAACGUGCCUUUUGGUUCGGAAUAACUCAGGGAAACUUGUGCUAAUACCGAAUGUGCCCUUCGGGGGAAAGAUUUAUCGCCAUUAGAGCGGCCCGCGUCUGAUUAGCUAGUUGGCGAGGUAACGGCUCACCAAGGCGACGAUCAGUAGCUGGUCUGAGAGGAUGACCAGCCACACUGGGACUGGGACACGGCCCAGACUCCUACGGGAGGCGGCAGUGGGGAAUCUUGCGCAAUGGGCGAAAGCCUGACGCAGCCAUGCCGCGUGAAUGAUGAAGGUCUUAGGAUUGUAAAAUUCUUUCACCGGGGACGAUAAUGACGGUACCCGGAGAAGAAGCCCCGGCUAACUUCGUG